AUUGAACGCUGGCGGUAUGCUUAACACAUGCAAGUCGAACGCGAAAGCACCUUCGGGUGCAAGUAGAGUGGCGGACGGGUGAGUAACGCGUGGGAAUCUGCCCAGUAGUGGGGGACAACUCGGGGAAACUCGAGCUAAUACCGCAUACGCCCUAUGGGGGAAAGGCUUCGGCCGCUAUUGGAUGAGCCCGCGUCGGAUUAGCUAGUUGGUAGGGUAAUGGCCUACCAAGGCAACGAUCUGUAGCUGGUCUGAGAGGACGAACAGCCACACUGGGACUGAGACACGGCCCAGACUCCUACGGGAGGCAGCAGUGGGGAAUAUUGGACAAUGGGCGAAAGCCUGAUCCAGCAAUACCGCGUGUGUGAAGAAGGCCUGCGGGUUGUAAAGCACUUUCAGUUGGGAAGAUAAUGACGUUACCAACAGAAGAAGCACCGGCUAACUCCGUGCCAGCCGCCGCGGUAA
rnacentral:rRNA from 1 species